rnacentral:lncRNA from 1 species
UAUGUUACCUUCAUCAUUGCAUUUUAAUAAAUUAUUAAAGGUAAUUCGAGUUUUACUUAUUUAUUAAUUGAGCCUAAUGUAUGCAGGUCGAAUCUAAUAUAUGCAGGUCGAGUCAAACUUAUUUCGGGUGAUCCCUGAACCCGAAUGACACGCACCCCGGUCCAGCCCCACUCCCCUGUUUCUUCGCAUCCAAUCGAGUUCAAACUUUCGUUACAUUGUACUAUCUGGUCAUUAUCACAUCCGCGAUUAGCUAUUCAAAGUCUUCCUAAAAUUCCAUGUGCAAGCCAUCCACGUAUCAAGUCUUACACAUCAUCUCCCUAUUCUUCCACCACAUCUCAGCCACGUCAUAAUGUCUUCUAAGCAUUCCCACUCUACCCUGUUCCAUGUCCAAAGAACAGGGUCAUCCCAAGACUUCUCAGCCGACCUCAUGUCUCACGAUAUCAUCUCCAACUAAAAUCCUUUUUCCUCCACGUCUCCUCCCAGAUUUCAUCUUUCCAUCGUAUCUCUAUCCCAUGCUCAUCCCAGCGUUCCGGAUCACAUUCUCCACAACCGGAACAGAGCCGAGACCCAAGGAUGAUUUCCUUAUCCGAACCCCAUGAAACAACCAAAGCCACGUCUUCAUCUGGAUUAUUUCCCAGCCGAGAUCCUCUCAGUUCACGCUCGUCCUGGCCAAUCGCAUAUCAUCUUCCACCUCCCACCAAAUCCCGAGUCUCCAACGUCCACUUCAUCCUCUUCUCCGAUCACAUCUACAAAUGGAUUCCCCUGUUUCAACUUCCACGUCCUCGACCAAAUCCCGAGUCCCAAGCAUCCAUUCAGCAUCUCUCAAACCCCCGCGUCCAAGCAUCUCAACAACCAACUCAUCUUCAUCUCCCAUGCUUCCGAUUCUUCUU